AUGCACGCUGGCGGCGUGCUUAACCCAUGCAAGUCGAACGGGAAAUAUUUCAUUGAGACUUCGGUGGAUUUGAUUUAUUUCUAGUGGCGGACGGGUGAGUAACGCGUGGGUAACCUGCCUUAUACAGGGGGAUAACAGUCAGAAAUGGCUGCUAAUACCGCAUAAGCGCACAGAGCUGCAUGGCUCAGUGUGAAAAACUCCGGUGGUAUAAGAUGGACCCGCGUUGGAUUAGCUAGUUGGUGGGGUAACGGCCCACCAAGGCGACGAUCCAUAGCCGGCCUGAGAGGGUGAACGGCCACAUUGGGACUGAGACACGGCCCAGACUCCUACGGGAGGCAGCAGUGGGGAAUAUUGCACAAUGGGGGAAACCCUGAUGCAGCGACGCCGCGUGAAGGAAGAAGUAUCUCGGUAUGUAAACUUCUAUCAGCAGGGAAGAUAGUGACGGUACCUGACGAAGAAGCCCCGGCUAACUACGUG
rnacentral:rRNA from 1 species